rfam:Ceraceosorus bombacis genome assembly, contig: Scaffold_222
CCGGUGAUGGCCCAGUUGGUAGAGGCGACGGUUUGUAAUUGAUACAGCCGUCAGGUGCAUCACGCACCUAUUGACGAACACCGUAGGUCCGCGGUUCGAAUCCGCGUCGCCGGA